rnacentral:rRNA from 1 species
GGACCCGCACAAGCGGUGGAGCAUGUGGUUUAAUUCGAUGCAACGCGAAAAACCUUACCUACUCUUGACAUACUUGGAAGCUCUUGUAAUGAGAGUGUGCUUUUAGAGCCAAGAUACAGGUGCUGCAUGGCUGUCGUCAGCUCGUGUCGUGAGAUGUUGGGUUAAGUCCCAUAACGAGCGCAACCCUUACCCUUAUUUGCCAGCGGUUCGGCCGGGAACUAUAAGGGGACUGCCGGUGACAAACCGGAGGAAGGUGAGGACGACGUCAAGUCAUCAUGGCCCUUACGAGUAGGGCUACACACGUGCUACAAUGGGGAAUACAGACGGACGCUAAAGCGUGAGCUGGUGCUAAUCCUAAAAAAUUUCUCGUAGUCCGGAUUGCAGUCUGCAACUCGACUGCAUGAAGUCGGAAUCGCUAGUAAUCGC